UGACAUUUAGAAAGGAAAUUUAGGUUACGGCAAUGAUCAAAAGUUAGUGAACAGUUUCCGGACAUUUUAAACUUUCUAACACCCAACAUUUGUCUCAUAAAUACUAAGGGAAUUCAAUGCUCAUUUUCACAUUUAGAAAGGAAAUUUAGGUUACGGCAAUGAUCAAAAUCUAAUAAAUGGUUACAGGACAUUUUAAACUUUCUAACACCCAACAUUUGUCUCAUAAAUACUAAGGGAAUUCAAUGCUCAUUUUCACAUUUAGAAAGGAAAUUUAGGUUACGGCAAUGAUCAAAAUCUAAUAAAUGGUUACAGGACAUUUUAAACUUUCUAACACCCAACAUUUGUCUCAUAAAUACUAAGGGAACUCAAUGCUCAUUUUCACAUUUAGAAAGGAAAUUUAGGUUAUGGCAAGGAUCAAAAUCUAAUAAAUGGUUACAGGACAUUUUAAACUUUCUAACACCCAACAUUUGUCUCAUAAAUACUAAGGGAAUAAUUAGAUUGUACAUAUCAUCGGUGUGAACUUUUUACUAAUUACAAGUGUUGAUUUAAGUGAGUGUGUGGCAAGUGUAGCAUGGGGUGGGAUGUGUUAAGUUCCUGUGGUCAAGUGUUUAUAUAGCAAGGGAUGAUUACGGUGUUUCUUACUAAGUACGAUAAGAAACAUAUAUAUACAUCACACACACACACACACACACAUUCACUCACACUCGGUCAAAUCAUUCAUAGUUACCAUACAUAUAAAAUAAAUCUGAGCUGCUAAAUCAAAACAUCUGAACAAUAGAUAAAAGAAAAUAAUCAAAAACACAAAAAUCAUUCAGCAAUUUCAUAUCAAAAAAGUGAAUGAAAUAAAAAAAGGAUGCAGUAUGAUCAAGAGGAUUGGAUUAUGCUUUAAAAUCACCUCAAAAAUAAUGAACGUCACCAGGGAUAAUGACAGGAAGGAAGGAAGGCUUAAUACUAACUUAUAUCAGAGGCAGGAAAGAGUGAGGUUGUGUCUCCGGUCAGAUCUUGUGUUGGUCUAAGGAAACCCUCGGCUCUGUUCUACUUGUGCAUGUUUGUGAGGAAGUCUUCAAGGGUACAGGUAACUCUUGAUUUACGCGAGUUUGGUUUACGCGUUUUUUAAAUAAUGCGGGGUCCAAAAUCCAAAUAAAUGUUUAAUUUACAGGUUUUUUCACUUAUACGCGAUAUUUUAUGGAGUGGCCACCAGAAGUCUCACGCAACUGGACUCACACGGCGCCACGGCCACACAGCUGGGCUUAGUUCUUCCCGCGCACCACUUGAACAACAAUACAGUACCCACGCUGCCACACUACUAAACAACAACACCCUCGCUGCUGUGCUACCACAAGGGGAAGGGCAGCAAGAGGAGAAACCACGAGAGGGAGAGGAGUCAGAGUGAUGCAGUAGGCAAUAAAGGUACAAACUUAUCCCUUGUUUGAUUUACAUUGUUUUUGAUUUACACGACCUCUUCAAGGACACAAUACUCGCGUAAAUCGGGAGUUACCUAAAAAGGCCUGUACAUUUGAAGCAGAGAUUGUGUAUAAAGGGAGACUGUGUUUGCAUACUAGAACAUUUAGAAAAAUAUUAUAUGGCACUGUAUUGUCUUUGUUUUGAUCUGGGGUUUGUCUCAAGAAAGAAUUUUUUUUUAACCAAUCAUAUAACUAAAUGAUAUCUUAUUUAUUUCAGUCUUCUAUCUUCUACUUUAUCCUUAAUUAUCCUCGUCAUUGGUGUGUUGGGGUUAAAGGCAAACUUAUAGUAUUUGUAUUCUUUUGUGUCUGCCUCUACACUGUUUAAUAAUAGUGAUAAUAAUAGUGAUAGGAUCAGUCUAGUCAGGUCAGGUGUUCGGCAACAAAAUGUACCUUUUUAUAACCUAUUCUUUGUGGUGUCGAGUCCUGUCCGUGUGAUCCCUAAUUCAACCUGGUUAAGCGUUACCCUGAAAAAACUGUAUUAGCUCCUGACCCCUCCUGGCAUCACCCUUCCUAGGAGUGAUCAGGUCUUAAGUAUGUCAGGUGGAGAGACAAUUUACCUGGCGAGAAAAUCAAUCAUUUACCUGAGCAACAAUUCGUCCUGCUUAAUUCUGUCAUGGUUAAAUGCCUCAAGCUUAAUGGCCAUGCCCCCAAAGAUUGUGUAGAUGCCAAUGGGAAGCUGCAACAAGACACAGGAGGGUGCUGGUGCUCACUGGGGCAUGCUGGCAGGGUGUGGCGGGGUGGGGGGUGCAUGCAGGGAGGAACAGGGGGUGGGAAGGGAGGGAUGGGAAGGGUGGGAAAGGUGCUGGUUUGUGUCAGUCACCGUUGCCAGAUUAUCGUACUCAGAGCCUCGUAUUUACCGUUUUCUGAGCCGUAGCUAUUGCCAAAAAACACCAAUAAUUAACCAUUUUAACAAUAACUAUAUAUGAAGGCAGUUAUUGGGGUCGAGGAGGCAGUUUUUGGGUCGAAAAUCAGCAAAUAUAGGAGGCCGAGUACGACAAUCUGGCAACGUUGGUGUCAGGGAGGGAAGGGAGAUGUGCUGGUGUUUGAUGUGCUAGGGAAUAUGUUGUGUGGUAAGGUACGCGUAGGUGUCUGGCUUAUGGAACAACUCUAAAAGACAAGAUUAGAGGAGAAACUUUAACAUUAGUAACAGUUGGGUUUGUAUAUUUUCAAGGGUGUGUGAGGCUGUGUGAGCAUUAGAGGUUUUCAGUAGUCACCGACAAGUCAAACGAAGGCAGACAGAUGGAACGGUGUCAGACGGGCUCCGGGAUAUGUUUGCCCGAAGAGCUCUCGCCAGCAAACGCGAGCAGACAUUUUUCAUCGGCCAACCAGCGAGUAGGACCACACACCACCACACUGCAGUCGAUUUCCCGUAGGAAUGUUUUGAAGACUAAAAUACAGGAUAUAAUGCUCUUUGAGACCCAGAAAGUUGGUGUUGUAUAAAGAAAUAUUUAUUUUCUUGUCAUUUCACAUUAAAAACAACCUGAAAAUGCCAUAAGGCAAGGGAAAGACGGGAAGAUGCUGCCUUCAUAAUAUUUUGCAUCUUUUUGACCGCUAGGCAGCGUUGUCCGACUAAUUCGUGGCUUUGACUUUAAUCCCGGAGCAGAGCUGUUUUUUUCGUAUGUUGGUGCGUUUCUUGCAUCAUCUCUUAACAUAAUCCUGUGCGGGCGAGGAAAUAUAUAAUUUUGGAAUAUUAUAGUUGACAUCAAGCUAAAACAAGGAGAAAAUUAGAGUUGGCUCAGAACUCGUAUAUGUGAACGUAAACACAACUCCUGCCACCGAGAAUUUGUCUGUGACGCUGGAUGAGGGGCAUAUACACAGGAUUAAGCACAGGUGAUCUGUAGUCAUCCUUUAGGAACAAAUCGUCAAAUUCCUCCAUCUUCCUACUUCCAACAAUGUGCAUUCUGAGUAUUUAGGUCUGAAGAGUGGUGUACACGAGUUAUUCCCGGGCGGUGGUGCCUGUCUGGCAGUGGGGCUGUAAUUCGUUUUCAGUAAAAAUGCUGUUUUGUUUGAUCGUUUGACUUGACGGCGACACUGUAUAUCCAACAAAGGAAGGCUGUGUUUGCAUGCCUUGAAAAUGUAAAAUGGUUAUAGUUCUGUACUAGCAGGGUUUGUAGAUCAUGGGUGUGUGGUGUUCUGUGGAUAUUAAGUACAAGGAAGAGUGAGUUAGUUUUGUAUAUCAUAAGUCAUGGCAUGCUGUGUUUGUGUACCUGAAAAAUGUAUAAAAAUGUUAUCUUAUGUUAGGAUGACAGGAUGCUGUGGGCAACAACAUUAGCUCUACACACAUGCACAUACAAUAGCAACAUAAUCAACAUACACAUUGAUGCCUAAAGCCCACUACAAACAUGGCAAUCACAACAAGCCUUCUGCUGCUGGUUAUAAUCAUCAACACUGUACAGGGAACUUGACACUGGUAAAGGCGCAGCGGUGGGAGGGAGAUCCAGAAGAAUACAGAUAUGUGCUACAAUUAGUCUAUAACCCGACACACCAAAGAUGAGGAUAAUUAAGGAUAAAGUAGAAAAUAGAAGAUUGAAAUAAAUUAGGUCUGGCUCAAUUAUAGGAUCAAUUUCUGUAUUCAAAUUAUAUAGCCAGGUUCCCAUCCAUUCCUCUAAAGAAUGAUAGUUACAAUAGUGUUUCCAUACGGACUUCUUUUAAUUUUCCAUCCAUUCCUCUCACGGCUGCACCUUUAUCAUGGACUAAAAGCUUAAUCACAAUGGGAAACUUCUCAAACUGCCUCAAUGUAGAUGGCGCCACUGAGGUUGGUGAAGGCUAGUACAGUGCUGCCCUCUACACAGCAGGUUUGAAAGCCCUCCGUCACACAGAUGAAGCGUAGCGAACCUUCAGUAACCAAAUCUUCAGUAAUAUACGUAACAAGUAAAUUUUGGCCACUUAACCAAAUCUUCAGUAAUAUAAGCAAGAAGUAAAUUUUGGCCACUAAACCAAAUCUUCAGUAAUAUAUGCAAGAAGUAAAUUUUGUCCACUUAACCAAAUCUUCAGUAAUAUACGCAAGAAGUAAAUUUUGUCCACUUAACCAAAUCUUCAGUAAUAUACGCAACAAGUAAAUUUUGUCCACUUAACCAAAUCUUCAGUAAUAUAUGCAAGAAGUAAAUUUUGGCCACUUAACCAAAUCUUCAGUAAUAUACACAAGAAGUAAAUUUUGUCCACUUAACCAAAUCUUCAGUAAUAUACACAAGAAGUAAAUUUUGUCCACUUAACCAAAUCUUCAGUAAUAUACGUAACAAGUAAAUUUUGUCCACUUAACCAAAUCUUCAGUAAUAUACGCAAGAAGUAAAUUUUGUCCACUUAACCAAAUCUUCAGUAAUAUAUGUAGGAAGUAAAUUUUGUCCACUUAACCAAAUCUUCAGUAAUAUACGUAAAAAGUAAAUUUUGGCCACUUAACCAAAUCUUCAGUAAUAUACGCAAGAAGUAAAUUUUGUCCACUUAACCAAAUCUUCAGUAAUAUAUGCAAGUAGUAAAUUUUGUCCACUUAACCAUAAGAUAAAAAUUGACCACUUAACUAUAUACCAUUAUUUUGCUAUUUAACCACAAGACACAUUUCGGCCACAACCAUGUAACAAGUUUUGGCCGCAACUACGUGACUAAUGAGAGAUGCAAGAUAUCAAUGUCACGCUUAGUAUAAUCAACUCUGCUCCUGCCAAACAAACAUUCAGCUUAAAAAUACAAGUGGAAAAAAUGAUAGCGUGGGAAGAGAGGUACCGGAAGCAUAAUCAAUAAUAACAAUGACGUGUGUGGUUUUGGCAAUAUCGUGCAGCCGAUACUCAAAUGUGCAGAAUGUGGACGCACCCAAAAUGUCGGCACAAUCAAACAAGCGGCCGAGUGGUACUGUGCUAUAUAAAAAAAAAGUAAAAAUGUGCAAGUUAGUAUCAAAACAUCCCUCAGCACAGACGGGGUGAAUGCAUAACCAGUGAUAACCUUCCAUGUCGCCAGAUAUUGCAGAAUCAUAAAAAUCAAACCUAACAAAAAACGCAGUGCAAUCUCAGAGGAAAGUAAAAAAAAUCAAGUACUAGAUGAAAAAUAGAUAAGAAAUAAUUUUGUGGGGUAUUUUGCACAUCAAGCUGUCAUCCCAAAGUCACAUCCAUGGAGCUGUUGCAAGGUUAUCGUGAAGGUGGCAUUAGGUCAGCACAGGAAAGACAUUGGUGAGGUGGUGGCAGGACCGUAUGAAAGCGUUUGUACAGAACUGUCAUCCCUCAAAUAGUACGGUUUCCAAUAGUUCGGUUUUGGUUUUAUGUGGAUUUUCUAAGAUGAUUUUUUAGGGUUUUUAAAUUUCCCAACGAGCAGGAAAUUUAAAAAUCCUAAAAGAUCUUCCAUGACAAGCCGUAUAAAACCAAAACCGUACUAUUUGGGGGAUGACUGUAUGUGCAAAACCACCUCAUUCUUCAUCCCUGGACCGGCUCAACCCAUCUCAAAGUAAGCAAAUGUUAGUAUCAGAAAAGUUACCAUACAAAUUUUCAAGUGGCAAUAAAACUGAUAUAAAAGUUUUGAAGUAUUAGAAGAAAAACAAUAAAAAGUUUCCAAGUACUAUCAGAAAAGUUACAAGUUUUCAAGUAUCAGAAAAGUUGAAAUACUACUUAAAGUCUUUGUACCAGUGGAGAAAAUGUUCCAAAUACGUACACAAAAAGCCAAAUAAGUGAUUACCCAAUACAAGGAUUCUGCAAUAAGGUGGUUUUACAAAAGAUUUAACCUGGUAGCAACGACGGGCCAAAUUUGUGGCUUUACCGUGUACCAGCCAUGAUAUAAACCCCCCAAAAUAGAUGAUGAAUAAACUGAUCACAAAUGCGUUUAUAUAUACGUAUAAUAAAAUGGUUUACGUGGGUGAUGAUUUUUUCUCAUUUUUCUCAUUUAGAGGGGCCUUUAAGAAACAUGAUCCACGCUGCUACCGGGUUAAAUUAGGUUAUGUGAUGAGAUGUAUUGCAAGGCUGAUGAGGCUGGUGCAGGAGUGAGUGACCAGGAAGUUAUCAGGAUUAAAACAAGCAAUAUGGACAAGAGGAAAGGUACAAUCUGUAAACAUGUGACACUUAACCCCUUGACUGUGGGUUUCCUACCAGAAGACAUCACCAAGCUACAGGAAUGGAACAAAAAGUGGUUGCUACAAUUCAAUGAAGAAAAAUAUAGUCCUGCAUCUUGGGAGGGGAAAUCCAGCAUACCAAACCACAUGGGAAACACUCCACUAUCCACCACAGAGGCAAAGACAUGGGAGUAUAAAAUCAUGUUACUAGGCUACCAGUGAAGGCCAAAUCCGUGCCAAUCACAGCGGACGGGUUAACACACCCAAAAUAAGUGACAUGAGAAUACAGUUUUAGAUCCAGAAAAAAAAGAACAAGUACAGAGUGAAUGACGUGAGGAAAUGCAAGUUAUCAAAAUUAAGAAAAUCAAUACUCACAAGAUGAAAAGUGCAAGGACAACACAAGUUUGACAAGUUUAUACACAGGAAAAAAAACUUGAAAAAAUUGAAAAAGUGUAGAAUAUAUGAUGCGAGGAAACCCAUUCAAAGAACUCGUGAAGAAUUUGUGAAGUAUAAUAAAAUGUUGAAGUUGAUUUUCUGCAAUUACUGAGAAAACAUCCUAAACUUGCAUAGAUAUUAAAAGACAAAUACCUAUAAAUAUAACAUGUCCAUAGCCUAUAUAUACUUUUCAUAUGGUUCAAAAUAGUAUUCAUAGUAUCUAAUCUACUUCACUUAGGAAAUAUUUUAUUCUUACAUGCCGGGAGAGUAUAAAACAUGCUCAGAACAAACAAAGCAGGCAUAAACUCGAUAAAACAACUCUCCCUUAGAAGCCAUGCCAACACUCCAGCUCAAAAAAACUAGAAAAACUAUCCAAAACAGAAAUUUCCAAACUGAAAUCCGCCUUAAAAAAUUCAAUAAAAACUUCCCAAUUCACAAAGUUCGUUCAAAUUAUUAGUCUUGCUGAAAUUCACUCAGUCUUGCAAAUAUUUACUCGUUUUCAUCAAAUUUACUGGUCUUGUUCAAAUUUAUUCAAAGACUUUAUGUGCCAAUAUUCAGACCAAUGUUCAUAAUUCCAAGGGGAGAUUACAUUGCUUUUUCAUAUCAAACAAUUCAAGGAUGGGAAAAGGAGAAGGAAGGAAACACAGGGGUAGCAAGGUGAGUUUGUUCCAGACUAGAUUCUCUUUCGCUUCUUCAAGGAACUCUGAAGAAGCGGAAGCGAAACUAGUCGGGAAUAACCUCACCUGACUACGCUAAUAUUUCCUUCCUCGUCCUUCACCAAACUUGCCGAAAACGUCCCUAAACUCAAGGAUAAACGAACAGUGGAAUAAGGACAUGCGAAAACUUACAAACCCAAAAAAGUGUUAAAGAGGUUGAGGUGUUUAACAAAGGGAGCAAAGGAUGAAAAACAGAAAGGAAAUAGUAAUGAAAAGAAAAGACAUAAGAAUGAAGAUAACACACAUGGCUGAGAGGAGGAACAAAUAGAGGUUGAGAAAGCACCAGACAGUUACAGUGAAGCCAAAUUGUCGAGUCCGUUUUGACAUUGGCUCCCGUAGGUCCAUUUCUCUCCUCUGCUCUGCCACACAGUCCAAACACCUAUUUUUUCCUCUCACAUGUCACCUAUAGCUUACAUAUGAGAGGAAGAGACAGGUGUUGGGACUGUGUGGCAGAGCAGAGGGGAGGAAAGGACCCACGGAAGCAAAUGCCAGACCGGCCUCGGCAUAUUUGGAAGACUAUAGAUAUUAAAAUGAAGUACAGGAAUGGAGAAACAUGGAACAGCAAAAAAACAGGGAUGGAAGGAUGACUCAGCGAGGGAAAAGAAUGACAAUGUAAGCUAAUGGAAGCCUGACAUUGAGGGAAAGAUUCAAUGAGACUAAGAGCAACGGAAGGAGGAAUAAGACAAUACGGGAAGAGACGAAAGAGUAAAGAAAAAAAAGAAAUGGUACAAAAGUGCAAAGAAAACAAAGAAUAGGAAAACAGGACACCAUGACCUUAAAACAGUGACAAUUUUGACAAUCUGAGAGCAACAAGAAACGGAGGAGCAAGAUGGAAUGUGAGCGUAAGAAAAUAGAGGAACAAGAAAUAUACAUCACAGACAAACGGACAAAAAAUCAAGAACAGAAAAAACGAUAAGCGAGUAAGUCAAAGAAAGUAGUAGAAAAAAUAAAGAUACAGAAAAAGGUUGUUAAAUUAUAAAGUUCAAAGUUCAAAGUGAGACCGAGACAAAAGAUGAACUAACUAAAGACA